UAGUGUCAUAUUAAAAUUUGGUUCGGUAAUUUUGACGUUUAGUUAGUUAAUUAAAGAAAAAGACUAAAUCGUACUGUAAAGUUAAUCAUUAUUAGCUUUUAUGGGCUAAAUGGAUUUAAAAGUAUUCUUGAAUGGAUUUAAAUGGAAAAUAAGCCAUUUGUAGGCUGAGGAGAAAAAGGAGGAAUCUGCCCGAGGAGGGGCUCGCGUCUGAUUAGCUAGUUGGUGAGGCAAUAGCUUACCAAGGCGAUGAUCAGUAGCUGGUCCGAGAGGAUGAUCAGCCACACUGGGACUGAGACACGGCCCAGACUCCUACGGGAGGCAGCAAUGGGGAGUUUUCCGCAAUGGGCGAAAGCUUGACGGAGCAAUGCCACUUGAAGGUAGAAGGCCCAUAGGUCGUGAACUUCUUUUCCCUGAGAAGAAGCAAUGAUAGUAUCUGGGGAAUAAGCAUCGACUAACUUUGUGCCAGCAGCCGCGGUAAUAUAGAGGAUGCAA
rnacentral:ncRNA from 1 species